AGAGUUUGAUCCUGGCUCAGGACGAACGCUGGCGGCGUGCUUAACACAUGCAAGUCGAACGGACCUUAUUUGGAGGAAGCUUUCGGGUAGACACUGAAUAAGGUUAGUGGCGGACGGGUGAGUAACGCGUAGAUAAUCUACCUUAAAGACUGGGACAACAGUUGGAAACGACUGCUAAUACCGGAUAAGCUAAACGGAAGGCAUCUUCUGUUUAGGAAAGGAGGCCUCUUAACAAUGCUCCCGCUUUUAGAUGAGUCUGCGUCUGAUUAGCUAGUUGGUGGGGUAACGGCUUACCAAGGCGACGAUCAGUAGUCGGCCUGAGAGGGUGACCGGCCACAUUGGGACUGAGACACGGCCCAAACUCCUACGGGAGGCAGCAGUGGGGAAUCUUCCGCAAUGGGCGAAAGCCUGACGGAGCAACGCCGCGUGAUCGAAUGAAGGCCUUCGGGUUGUAAAGAUCUGUUGACAGGGACGAAUAAGCCAUGCGAAUAGUUUGGUGUAUGACGGUACCUGUUUAGAAAGCUCCGGCUAACUACGUGCCAGCAGCCGCGGUAAUACGUAGGGAGCAAGCGUUGUCCGGAAUUACUGGGCGUAAAGGGCGCGUAGGUGGGUGCUUAAGUCAGGUGUGAAAACUCUGGGCUCAACCUGGAGACUGCACUUGAAACUGGGUAUCUUGAGGGCAGGAGAGGAAAGUGGAAUUCCUAGUGUAGCGGUGAAAUGCGUAGAUAUUAGGAGGAACACCAGUGGCGAAGGCGACUUUCUGGACUGUACCUGACGCUGAGGCGCGAAAGCGUGGGUAGCGAACGGGAUUAGAUACCCCGGUAGUCCACGCCGUAAACGAUGAAUACUAGGUGUAGGAGGUAUCGACUCCUUCUGUGCCGCAGCAAACGCAAUAAGUAUUCCGCCUGGGGACUACGGUCGCAAGACUAAAACUCAAAGGAAUUGACGGGGACCCGCACAAGCGGUGGAGCAUGUGGUUUAAUUCGACGCAACGCGAAGAACCUUACCAGGGCUUGACAUCCCUCGCUAUCUGUGGAAACACGGAGUUCCGUAGCUUGCUACGGACGAGGAGACAGGUGGUGCAUGGUUGUCGUCAGCUUGUGUCGUGAGAUGUUGGGUUAAGUCCCGCAACGAGCGCAACCCCUACGUCCAGUUGCCAGCACGUUAAGGUGGGAACUCUGGAGGAACUGCCGGUGACAAACCGGAGGAAGGUGGGGAUGACGUCAAAUCAUCAUGCCCUUUAUGUUCUGGGCUACACACGUGCUACAAUGGCCGGUACAGAGGGCGGCGAAGCCGCGAGGUGGAGCGAAUCCCAAAAAGCCGGUCUAAGUUCGGAUUGCAGGCUGCAACCCGCCUGCAUGAAGUCGGAAUCGCUAGUAAUCGCGAGUCAGCAUAUCGCGGUGAAUACGUUCCCGGGUCUUGUACACACCGCCCGUCACACCAUGGGAGUUGGCAACACCCGAAGUCGAUGAGCUAACCGCAAGGAGGCAGUCGCCUAAGGUGGGGUUGAUAACUGGGGUGAAGUCGUAACAAGGUAACC
rnacentral:rRNA from 1 species